rnacentral:lncRNA from 1 species
AUUCGCAUCUUUUCUUUUUUCUCGGUUAAUACCUCCAACGCCUGUACGUAUGUAAUAAACAUAGCAGCAACUGUCAAUAUACCAAUGUGACCAACUUCAAUUCUUCGCAACUGCGAGCACCUUCGAUAAUAUUACAUUUAAAUGCCAAACUUUAUAUAGUACCAUUAAAUCCCACCCGUAGAAACCGCCAAAACUUUCCUCGUGCAUUAUACACCCGACAUCAAACUCUAUAAAUAGUACAUACUGUUGCAGAACUAGUUAUACUAGUUCCCAUCUAUAAAUAAUUACCACUAAUAGCAAACGGAA